UGUCUUUCAAAAGUAUUUUUCUUACUAACAAAAAUGAAUUUACUUAGGACAAUAUUCCUUGAGUCAUGCUUGUUGUAUUUACAAGUGCUUAAUUAGACUUAGAAUCUAUAAAAUAUCAUUGUUCUGACUUUAUUUGUCAAGAAAAUACAAAAAGUGUCGUACAUAAAGAAAUUUAUUAGCACACAAACAUAGAAUGGAAAAGAUUUUAGAGUUUAUUUUGUCAUGGCCAUGUCUCUUUUUUAUUUUGUUUUUUAAGGAA
rnacentral:lncRNA from 1 species